GCCGGGUUGCCCGAGCGGCCAAAGGGAGCUGACUGUAAAUCAGCCGCGCAAGCUUCAGAGGUUCGAAUCCUCUACCCGGCACCA
rnacentral:tRNA from 4 species